AGAGUGAACGCUGGCGGUAGGCCUAACACAUGCAAGUCGAACGGCAGCACAGUGGUAGCAAUACCAUGGGUGGCGAGUGGCGGACGGGUGAGGAAUACAUCGGAAUCUACCUUUUCGUGGGGGAUAACGUAGGGAAACUUACGCUAAUACCGCAUACGCCCGUUCGGGGGAAAGCCGGGGAUCGCAAGACCUGGCGCGGAUAGAUGAGCCGAUGUUGGAUUAGCUAGUUGGUGAGGUAAUGGCUCACCGAAGGCGACGAUCCGUAGCUGGUCUGAGAGGAUGAUCAGCCACA
rnacentral:rRNA from 1 species